rnacentral:ncRNA from 1 species
CUUUGGGAAGUGCAACUAUGCUAUGUAGCCUUUUGGUCUUACCGCUAGACUGUGCCCUGACCCCCUGACCCCCCAAAAGAUAAGAUCAGCAAAGAACCAGUCUUGACAGCACAUAAUGAAAGUGAAAGUCGAGACCUCCGUCGUGGAGGGCACCGACGCCCGGACCGGAGCCUUUGGCGAUGGAUCUGCGGUGGAGCACGUAUGUUGGGACCCGAAAGAUGGUGAACUAUGCCUGAAUAGGGCAAAGCCAGAGGAAACUCUGGUGGAGGCUUGUAACGAUUCUGACAUGCAAAUCAAUCAUCAAAUUUGGGUAUAGGGGCGAAAGACUAAUUGAACCAUCUAGUAGCUGGUUCCCACUGAAGUUUCCCUCAGGAUAGCAGAAGCUCAUGGUUCAGAUUUAUGUGGUAAAGCAAAUGAUUAGAGGCCUUGGGGUCAAAACGACCUUAACCUAUUCUCAAACUUUAAAUAUGUAAGAGUGGGCCAUCUCUUGAUUGGACUGCCUGGCAAUGGGUCAGGGGGUCAGGGCACAGCCUAGUGGUAAGACUGAAGGGUUAUGUAGCAUAGUCGUGCCUCCCAAAGGGUAGGAAGGCUGACCAAGGGUUAAGACAGAGUAGUGUUGCAAAGUCCGGUCCUAGGACCGG